GCACUGCUGACGAGUCCCAGAACAGAACGAAAAAGAUGUCCAGUGC
rnacentral:hammerhead_ribozyme from 1 species